UACGUAGGGGGCAAGCGUUGUCCGGAUUUAUUGGGCGUAAAGAGCGUGUAGGCGGCCAGACAGGUCUGCUGUGAAAACUCGAGGCUCAACCUCGAGAUGUCGGCGGAAACCAUCUGGCUAGAGUCCGGAAGAGGAGAGUGGAAUUCCUGGUGUGAGCGGUGAAAUGCGCAGAUAUCAGGAGGAAUACCGGUGGUGUAGACGGCUCUCUGGACCGCAACUGACGCUGAGACACGAAAGCGUGGGUAGCAAACAGG
rnacentral:rRNA from 1 species